rnacentral:lncRNA from 1 species
UCUCUGGGACAUUUCAAACAACUCCUCACCAAAUGAACUAGAGUCUGUAGAGAAGGGGACUGUGAUAGAGGUUUCAAAUCCUAGAACUGGAGUUACAGUCUGGGAAAUUGCUGGAGACUCAGCCACAGUGGGGGUGGGGCUCCAGGCGAUGUUCUGGAAUCUUGGGAGAGCAAGAUUCUGUCAGAGAUAUGCAGUUAACUCUUUCUCAAUCCUGAGACAGCCUAAAGAAAGGGCUGGUCAAGACUUUGCUCCUGAGGAAAGACUUGCAUCUUUCUACUGGUGAUUGGAUACCCUUCCUCCCACUGAUUCCCAACUGAAGUGGCCAGUUGGAGAAAAACCAAGCAGCUGACAAGAUCACCUCACAGCUCCUGGUGACCUGGGUCUGGACUGGGCUAAUAACAAGGCCAUUCCAAGCAUGAAUCUCUCAGGGGCUCAAGGCUGCCAAGGCCUAGGUUCCCCAACUUGAGGAGGGAGGUGACAUGAAUUGUAUGAUGAAGAAUUGAUUGUGCUGAAAGCAUCAUAAUCUGAGUUCUAGCAUUAGUGUUUCGGUUGCUACUGCUGUUCAUUAUCAUCAAUUUGUAUGAGUAUAUCUACUGUGAACCACAAAGAUUUGCUAUCACCCCUAUGUGUCUCAGACUGUUGAAAUCCAAGAUUUGAUGUUUUGAAAAAGAGAAGGAAAAAUGCCAAGAUAUCUGAUCUUUAUUUUUCUCCACACAUUUUUUGAUGUUUUUCUUUUUUGUGAUCUAUUUGGUGCUGAGAAGAGGGCAAAAAGGUCCACCAAAAUGAGGUCAAGGAUAUGGAAACUUGGAAGAUGUCUCAAGAUCUUGGGCAUCACCACUCCCUUUCUUGCUGACUAGAUAUGUUUCCAUAUGAAGAAGAAGGCAGCCGUGUCUACCCAACCUAAGUGCUUGGAUAUCUUAAUUGAAUUUUCUUUCUAUUCUGUGACUAAACAAACCUCCUUCUGUUAACUGUUGAUUGACCUAUAUGGCUCACUAUGUGUAUUUUAUUCCAACAUAAAAUCUGAAUUAAAAGGCCUGGGAUCAGGGCUACUUACUAAUUGUUGUCCUUUGUAUCAAAGAGGACCAAAGAUGACAUCACUGGUGAUAUCUUUUAAUUUGUGCAUAAAUUGGAUUUAAGAGAUACACAGUAACACAAAGUUGUUGGUCCCACUGAUGUCCAAUGGUAAGAUAACCUUCAACAUGACUGGAAAUGGCUUAAAAUGCAGUGAAUGAACUUGAGUUCUUCAAUCUCUAACUAAUUUCUAAAUGUUCCACAGCACCUGCUUCAGCCACCUUCAUGAUCAUUAGAAUAAAUUGUUCUCAUCUUUGAAUGAAUUGGGUAGA